rnacentral:rRNA from 1 species
UACAGAGGGUGCAAGCGUUGUUCGGAAUCAUUGGGCGUAAAGGGCGUGUAGGCGGUUUGUUAAGUCAUGUGUGAAAUCCCUCGGCUUAACCGGGGAACUGCAUCUGAUACUGGAUGGCUUGAGAUUGGGAGAGGGAUGCGGAAUUCCAGGUGUAGCGGUGAAAUGCGUAGAUAUCUGGAGGAACACCGGUGGCGAAGGCGACAUCCUGGACCGGUAUUGACGCUGAGGCGCGAAAGCCAGGGGAGCAAACGGG